AGAUGUCUGCAGCGUCGCGAGGCUUACUCACCCACUGCGAGCUUGCUCGCCCACCCGGCAGUGUCGCUUGGGACGCGCGCGGGCUCUGACGUGUAGCAGGUUUGCAGUAGGUCCUGACACCGCGCCGGCGGCAACGAUGCGCCUAGGAGCGGACGAGUCGCCGCCUUCAUCGCUCGCCGAGCCGUCCAGCGCCAGACAAGACUAGCCUGCGACGUAAACAAACAAUAAACCAGUAAAGCAGUGCACGCGGUUGGGUGGGUAAACCUCUCGUUGGAGGCACGUGGCAAGUGAGCGACUGGAACACACGCCGUCGCAUUGUUGUGAGGACGCCUGGUCUUUGUUGAGAACCGCGCGUCGCUGCGCCACCACCGCGAUGCUCUGAUGUUCCACUGACGUCACGUGACGAAGAGAGAAGGUAGUAGAAAAAAGGCGGGAAAAAUCUGCGAGCGCCGACGGGACUGCCCGUUUCUCUCCGACCUUCGUUCAACAUAACCUCAAUCACGAGUUCUUCAGAAGAGUCGACGGAAUGCUGCGGCUCGGCUGACAUGGCGGAGGGGGGUCAGGAGGAGGACAGCGGUGACGUCAUGCUGGCCACGCCCACCGCCGCUGCUGCCCUCAAGCGGGAGCCGGACGCACCUCUCAACCUCAAGUCGGAGGAGAGCUGCGACAGCGGGCCGCCGUCCCCGGAGGCGGCGGCGCUGGAGGCGGAGCCGCACCUGCACGCCAG